UACGAAGGGGGCUAGCGUUGCUCGGAAUCACUGGGCGUAAAGGGUGCGUAGGCGGGUCUUUAAGUCAGGGGUGAAAUCCUGGAGCUCAACUCCAGAACUGCCUUUGAUACUGAGGAUCUUGAGUUCGGGAGAGGUGAGUGGAACUGCGAGUGUAGAGGUGAAAUUCGUAGAUAUUCGCAAGAACACCAGUGGCGAAGGCGGCGAUCUGGGAAGAUACUGACGCUGAGGUGCGAAAGCGUGGGGAGCAAACAGG
rnacentral:rRNA from 1 species